rnacentral:rRNA from 1 species
CCUACGGGAGGCAGCAGUGGGGAAUAUUGGGCAAUGGGCGCAAGCCUGACCCAGCAACGCCGCGUGAAGGAAGAAGGCUUUCGGGUUGUAAACUUCUUUUCUCAGGGACGAAGCAAGUGACGGUACCUGAGGAAUAAGCCACGGCUAACUACGUGCCAGCAGCCGCGGUAAUACGUAGGUGGCAAGCGUUAUCCGGAUUUACUGGGUGUAAAGGGCGUGUAGGCGGGAAAGCAAGUCAGAUGUGAAAACCAUGGGCUCAACCUGUGGCCUGCAUUUGAAACUGUUUUUCUUGAGUACUGGAGAGGCAGACGGAAUUCCUAGUGUAGCGGUGAAAUGCGGAGAUAUUAGGAGGAACACCAGUGGCGAAGGCGGUCUGCUGGACAGCAACUGACGCUGAGGCGCGAAAGCGUGGGGAGCAAGCAGGAUUAGAUACCCUUGUAGUC